CCCUUAGAUGUUCUGGGCCGCACGCGCGCUACACUGAUGCAUUCAACGAGCCUAUCCUUGACCGACAGGUCCGGGUAAUCUUUGAAUCUGCAUCGUGACGGGGAUAGAUUAUUGCAAUUAUUAAUCUUCAACGAGGAAUGCCUAGUAGGCGCAAGUCAUCAGCUUGCGUCGAUUACGUCCCUGCCCUUUGUACACACCGCCCGUCGCUACUACCGAUUGAAUGGCUCAGUGAGGCCUUCGGACUGGCCCAGGGAGGUUGGCAACGACCACCCAGGGCCGGAAAGUUGGUCAAACUUGGUCAUUUAGAGGAAGUAAAAGUCGUAACA
rnacentral:rRNA from 1 species